GUUUUGUAAAUUACUAGGCUAAAUACUCAAUGAUUAUAUGUUCAAAUAAUGUAUUCUAUUAAAGUAAAAUUGGCUAUUUAUCUUAUGGGAUUAUAGGUGUUUCAUGAAAAGCAAUUUUUUUCUUCUUUUUCUAAUUGCACAAAAGAUGCGACACAUACAUUGUUAAGCAAAGGGUUUAUUAUCUUUUUGUAUAUCCAUGCUGGUUGGAAAUGUUAUGGUGGGUGUAAAUUUAAAGAAUAUACUUUUUUUUCUCGUUAAAAUAAUUAUGUGGAAGUCUAUUCCUCUUUUUUAUAUACGAUUUGUCCAUCGGUCAUAAAGAAGCAGCCACGGGAAUCCUCCUUCCAACGUUGCCAAGCUUCAGCAACUCGCUUCCUUAAGCUUUGAUCCUUUGCAUCAUCAUCGUCAAGACGCUCAUUUGAAUGUAAGACACGUUGGAUAAACAAUCUGCUUACCCACUUUCUAGUUUCUUCGUCUGCAAAACACCAGGUUGAAGCAGAAGAAUGAAUGUUUUCUGCAACAUAUUUGGCAUCAAUUGCCCAUCCUCGUAAGCUUCUACCAGCAGUUGGAUUAGUCCCAUGCAAAUUUAUUCGUGCUUGGGAUUGUAAUAGUAAAUCAUGUUCGUAUUCUUUAGGAUAAACACAUGCAGAAAGUAAAUCUGCUUCUUUACAACAAACAUAUCCACCAGGCUUUGUUACUCGUUUCAAUUCUACUAAAGCAGCAACCGGAUCUUGCAAAUGAACUAGAACUUGGUGCGUAUUCACAAUGUCAAACGUAUUAUCUGGAAAUGGUAACUUGUAGAUGCUGCCCAAGCGGAAUGAACAGUUAUUAAUUUUUUCUUUCUUGAGCGUUUCUUCCUUUCUAAGUGCUUCUUCGGCCUUGUCAAGCAAUUCUUGAGAUGGCUCAACGCCAAUUACUUCACCUUCAGGAACAUACUUGGGGAAUCCCACUGUAAUAGUGCCAGGUCCACAUCCAACGUCCAAAAUACGAUCUGUUUUCUUAACAUAUUUUAGCAUAUAUGUCGAACACGUCUCUGGAGUUCUCCAAGCAUGUGUUUCAGCAAUAUAUGAAUCAACACCGUUGGCAUAGUACAAUUGAUCCGUCGGCUUAGACAUAUCUCUUUCUUGCUAUAUAAAGGAGAGCGAAAGAGUAAUCGACAGUAGAUUAUUAAGAAAAAGAAAAGUUAAGUGUCUCCUUAUUACCUUAGCAGUUUGCUACUUUAAGUUAGCAACUUUUUUAAUGUUCUUAGCAGUUGGAGGUAAAGAGUAGAUGUAUAAGAUAUAUCGUGAUAGACU